CAUCAAAACUGUAAGAAUUAUUUCUAAUAUAUACUGGGCCACAACCUCAUCUUUUCCUUUCAUAUUAAUGGACCUACAAAACAGACUCAACCGGUUCGAACAGCCAGGCUUUGAUUCCCUUUACAUGCAGGUUCCCUCAGGUUACAGAGCUGGCAUAUCUUGUUCUGCAUCACAUCUGCUCUGCAGUGCCUGACUAUCAGAGAGCCCUUGUUCUGGCUGCCAGAUUAGUCCCUUUGGGUUAGCUGCUGCAGGAAACAAAGUAGAAUUUUAAGUUAUGAAAAGGCAUGCUUUGGCUCCACUAGUUGAGAAGUUGUAAGGAUGGUUGACAGCUGACAUAUUCUACCUCCCUCGUGUUGAUCUCUCUUGCAGUACUCAAGAUGGAAACGAACCCCAGAAGACUACAAACUCCUUCCUUGUCAUGGGAAUCCAUGGAACCACCACCAACCUGGAACUCUGGAACCAGAGACAAAACAUUCAGGUAUGGAAGAAAUCUGACCAGAUUAAUUCAAGUGUGUUCCUGCUUAGUCACUGAAGCAAAGUUACCGAGGCCAUCAACUAUCCAAGGUGGGUGCACUAUUGAUGCUCAGCCUGCUGAUUUCCCUCAGACUGGCUAAAAAAGCAUGCCAGGAAUGCAGCUCCUGAAAUGGUAGAGAGAAUUAGUUAA
rnacentral:lncRNA from 1 species